rnacentral:sRNA from 1 species
ACGCUGGCUCGCGUGCCUAAUACAUGCAAGUCGAGCGAACUUUUGGGAGCUUGCUCUUAAGAAUUUUCGCGCGCGAGACGGGUGAGAGUCACACGUGCGUCACCUGCCUAUGACAGUGGUAUCACCCCGGGAAACCAGGGCUUAUCCCAGAUUUCCUUUUGCCCCACGUGGAGCGGAUUUGAAACGGUGCUUCCGGUGUCUCUUAUAUAUGGACCUGCCGCACUUUCUCUAUUUGGUGAGGUCACCGCUCCCCGGGGACACUAUGCAUACCCCACCUGAGAGGGUGAUCCGCCACUCUGGGACUGACACACCGCCCACACUCCUAGGGGAGGCCGCUGU